rnacentral:rRNA from 1 species
AGUGAACGCUGGCGGUAGGCCUAACACAUGCAAGUCGAACGGCAGCACAGUAAGAGCUUGCUCUUACGGGUGGCGAGUGGCGGACGGGUGAGGAAUACAUCGGAAUCUACUUUUUCGUGGGGGAUGACGUAGGGAAACUUACGCUAAUACCGCAUACGACCUACGGGUGAAAGCAGGGGAUCUUCGGACCUUGCGCGAUUGAAUGAGCCGAUGUCGGAUCAGCUAGUUGGCGGGGUAAAGGCCCACCAAGGCGACGAUCCGUAGCUGGUCUGAGAGGAUGAUCAGCCGCACUGGAACUGAGACACGGUCCAGACUCCUACGGGAGGCAGCAGUGGGGAAUAUUGGACAAUGGGCGCAAGCCUGAUCCAGCCAUACCGCGUGGGUGAAGAAGGCCUUCGGGUUGUAAAGCCCUUUUGUUGGGAAAGAAAAGCAGCAGGUUAAUACCCCGCUGUUCUGACGGUACCCAAAGAAUAAGCACCGGCUAACUUCGUG